rnacentral:lncRNA from 1 species
UGGCUUUUUUUGAAAUUUUAAGUCAAGUAUAGUUAAGUCUAUUUACAAGUUUGAAUUAAGAAAAGAAGUUUGAAAAUGCAAUGGCAUAAGGCCAAAGUUUCUAUCUUUUUUGCAAAAGUGGUCAAAGUUUAGAACAAAAGUAGUUCACACAAAGAAGAUUUUGAAAAAUGGAGGGAGAGAUUAGUUUGAAAAUGCAAUGGCAUAAGGCCAAAGUUUCUAUCUUUUUUGCAAAAGUGGUCAAAGUUUAGAACAAAAGUAGUUCACACAAAGAAGAUUUUGAAAAAUGGAGGGAGAGAUUUUG